GGUUGGAUGGUGCGGUGGUACAUCAUCUUGGCUGGUCUGCCAAGACAGUAGAUCGCUGGUUCAAAUCCAGCAAAACCCAACCA
rnacentral:tRNA from 1 species